GAUGAACGCUGGCGGCGUGCCUAAUACAUGCAAGUCGAGCGAACAGACGAUGAGUUUGUUCCUCUGACGUUAGCGGCGGACGGGUGAGUAACAUGUGGAUCAUCCCCAUAUAAGACUGGGAUAUCUUCGGGAAACCGGAGCUAAUACCGGAUAAUAUACUGAACCGCAUUGUUCAAUAGUGAAAGUCGGUUUUGCUGUCACUUAUAGAUGGAUCCGCGCCGCUUUAGCUAGUUGUUAAGGUAACGGCUUACCAAGGCAACGAUGCGUAGCCGACCUGAGAGGGUGGUCGGCCACACUAGAACUGAGACGCGGUCCAGACUACUACGGUACGCAGCAGAAGGGUAUCUUCCGCAAUGGGCGGAAGCCUGACGGAGCAACGCCACGUGAGUGAUGAAGGUCUUCGGAUCGUAAUGCUCUGUUAUUAGGGAAGAACAAAUGUGUAAGUAACUAUGCACGUCUUGACGGUACCUAAUCAGAAAGCCACGGCUAACUACGUG
rnacentral:rRNA from 1 species